rnacentral:rRNA from 1 species
AUUGAACGCUGGCGGCAGGCCUAACACAUGCAAGUCGAACGGUAACAGGAAGAAGCUUGCUUCUUUGCUGACGAGUGGCGGACGGGUGAGUAAUGUCUGGGAAACUGCCUGAUGGAGGGGGAUAACUACUGGAAACGGUAGCUAAUACCGCAUAACGUCGCAAGACCAAAGAGGGGGACCUUCGGGCCUCUUGCCAUCGGAUGUGCCCAGAUGGGAUUAGCUAGUAGGUGGGGUAACGGCUCGCCUAGGCGACGAUCCCUAGCUGGUCUGAGAGGAUGACCAGCCACACUGGAACUGAGACACGGUCCAGACUCCUACGGGAGGCAGCAGUGGGGAAUAUUGCACAAAGGGCGCAAGCCUGAUGCAGCCAUGCCGCGUGUAUGAAGAAGGCCUUCGGGUUGUAAAGUACUUUCAGCGGGGAGGAAGGGAGUAAAGUUAAUACCUUUGCUCAUUGACGUUACCCGCAGAAGAAGCACCGGCUAACUCCGUG